rnacentral:rRNA from 1 species
GACGAACGCUGGCGGCGUGCUUAACACAUGCAAGUCGAACGGAAAGGUCCUGCUUUGGUGGGGUGCUCGAGUGGCGAACGGGUGAGUAACACGUGAGUAACCUGCCCUUGACGUUGGGAUAACUUCAGGAAACUGGGGCUAAUACCGGAUAGGAGCUCCUGCUGCAUGGUGGGGGUUGGAAAGUUUCGGCGGUUGGGGAUGGACUCGCGGCUUAUCAGCUUGUUGGUGGGGUAGUGGCUUACCAAGGCUUUGACGGGUAGCAGGGCUGAGAGGGUGACCGGACAAGUUGGGUCUGAGAUACGGCACAGACUCCUACGGGACGCAGCAGUGGGGAAUAUUGCACAAUGGGCGGAAGCCUGAUGUAGCAACGCCGCGUGGGGGAUGACGGCCUUCGGGUAGUAAACCGCUUUCGCUUGUGACGAAGCGUGAGUGACGGUAAUGGGUAAAGAAGCACCGGCUAACUACGUG